UCACAGUGGGUAGGAUUAGAAAUGGAAGGAAGGGAGUGGAGGAGUUUGGUGAAGGAGAAGGUGUUUUGCGGGGGUGGGCAAAGAUAAUGAGGAGAGUGGAUUUGCUUGAGAUGGAGUACUGAAUUCAAUGGGGGAUUUCUGCAUUUUUGGUGAAACAGGAAGGAGAGUAAAGAGUUGUAUAAGUUUGAAUUUGUGAGCUUGGGUCUUGCGCUUGCCG
rnacentral:lncRNA from 1 species